UACGAAGGGGGCUAGCGUUGCUCGGAAUCACUGGGCGUAAAGCGCACGUAAGCGGAUCGCUAAGUCAGGGGUGAAAUCCUGGAGCUCAACUCCAGAACUGCCUUUGAUACUGGCAAUCUCGAGUCCGGGAGAGGUGAGUGGAACUGCGAGUGUAGAGGUGAAAUUCGUAGAUAUUCGCAAGAACACCAGUGGCGAAGGCGGCUCACUGGCCCGGUACUGACGCUGAGGUGCGAAAGCGUGGGGAGCAAACAGG
rnacentral:rRNA from 1 species